GUGGAGGGGUGGCAGGGUAGCCUAGUGGUUAGAGUGGAGGGGGCAGGUAGCCUAGUGGUUAGAGUGGAGGGGCAGCAGGUAGCCUAGUGGUUAGAGUGGAGGGGUGGCAGGUAGCCUAGUGGUUAGAGUGGAGGGGUGCAGGUAGCCUAGUGGUUAGAGAGGAGGGAUGGCAGGUAGCCUCAUGGUUAGAGAGGAGGGGUGGCAGGUAGCCUAGUGGUUAGAGUGGAGGGGUGGCAGGUAGCCUAGUGGUUAGAGUGGAGUGGCGGCAGGUAGCCUAGUGGUUAGAGUGGCGGGGCGGCAGGUAGCCUAGUGGUUAGAGUGGAGGGGCGGCAGGUAGCCUAGUGGUUAGAGUGGAGGGGAGGCAGGGAGCCUAGUGGUUAGAGUGGAGGGGCGGCAGGUAGCCUAGUGGUUAGAGUGGAGGGGCGGCAGGUAGCCUAGUGGUUAGAGUGGAGGGGCGGCAGGUAGCCUAGUGGUUAGAGUGGAGGGGCGGCAGGUAGCCUAGUGGUUAGAGUGGAGGGGCGGCAGGUAGCCUAGUGGUUAGAGUGGAGGGGCGGCAGGUAGCCUAGUGGUUAGAGUGGAGGGGCGGCAGGUAGCCUAGUGGUUAGAGUGGAGGGGAGGCAGGGAGCCUAGUGGUUAGAGUGGAGUGGCGGCAGGUAGCCUUGUGGUUGGGCCAGUAACCGAAAGGUUUCUGGAUUGAAUCCCCGAGCUGACAAGGUAAAAAUCUGUCGUUC
ensembl:lncRNA